AUAGCAAGCGCUUUGUACGCCGACAAUGUGUGGUAUCUGUUCCCAUCAGCCUAAUAUCUAGUACGGGUUCUAUUUGGACCCUAUAUAUUAAACUUACUUUUGCAAGUUGGCGGAGUGCUUGAAGCCUGCUUCAUCUCCGCUGUGGGUCUGCCCGUUAUUGCACUACCUCCGGUAUCGACCCACGGUUU